AGCGAACGCUGGCGGCAGGCUUAACACAUGCAAGUCGAGCGGGCGUAGCAAUACGUCAGCGGCGGACGGGUGAGUAACGCGUGGGAACGUACCUUUUGGUUCGGAACAACACAGGGAAACUUGUGCUAAUACCGGAUAAGCCCUUACGGGGAAAGAUUUAUCGCCGAAGGAUCGGCCCGCGUCUGCUUAGCUAGUUGGUGAGGUAACGGCUCACCAAGGCGACGAUCAGUAGCUGGUCUGAGAGGAUGAUCAGCCACAUUGGGACUGAGACACGGCACAAACUCCUACGGGAGGCAGCAGUGGGGAAUAUUGGACAAGGGGCGCAAUCCUGAUCCAGCCAGGCCGCGUGAGUUAUGAAGGCCCUAGGGUUGUAAAGCUCUUUUGUGCGGGAAGAUAAUGACGGUACAGCAAGAAUAAGCCCCGGCUAACCUCGUGCCAGCCGCCGCAGUAACAC
rnacentral:rRNA from 1 species